GUGUCAGCAGCCGCGGUAAGACGAACCGUGCGAACGUUGUUCGGAAUCACUGGGCUUAAAGGGCGCGUAGGCGGUCUGCCAAGUCGGGGUUGAAAUCUUUCGGCUCAACCGGAAAAGUGGCUUCGAUACUGGCAGGCUGGAGGGAGGUAGGGGCGGAUGGAACUUCCGGUGGAGCGGUGAAAUGUGUUGAUAUCGGAAGGAACGCCGGUGGCGAAAGCGAUCCGCUGGACCUCUUCUGACGCUGAGGCGCGAAAGCCAGGGGAGCAAACGGGAUUAGAUACCCCGGUAGUCCUGGCCCUAAACGAUGGGUACUGAGUAGUGGACUUGCAUGGGUUCACUGCUGAAGCAAAAGUGGUAAGUACCCCGCCUGGGGAGUAUGGUCGCAAGGCUGAA
rnacentral:rRNA from 1 species